rnacentral:lncRNA from 1 species
CCAUAUGAAUUGAAAUGUUGAAAUAAAUUGCCUAAUUUCGAUUGUUGAACAUGAUUCCUUGACUAAGACUUUUGUUGAAAGCCCCAUUAAGUUUAUUAUCGUUGAGUGGCGAUCUAAAAUGUUGCCACAAAUAACCUUCAGUGACGGUCACUCCAGUUUCAAUACAUAGUCGCCACUAAUACAUUUAGAGGCGACUUCUAUGGGUUUAGUGGCAGCGUUCGUCGCCGCAAAAGGUCCUGGAAUAAAUUUGCAGAAACGUUUGAUUAUCUGGCAAUUAAGACAGAAACNUAAUACAUUUAGCGGCGACUUCUAUGGGUUUAGUGGCAGCGUUCGUCGC